rnacentral:tRNA from 5 species
GUGGCUAUAGUUUAAUGGUAAAACUCCGCUCUGUGGAAGCGGUAUCGAGGGUUCGAUUCCCUCUAGCCACCCA